rnacentral:lncRNA from 1 species
GAAAAAAUAUACAAGAACCAUUUCUAGAGUGGUAACAAUCUCCCGUGGGAAUGCCGGCAUUUCCUAGUUCCUAGCUCUUCCCUUUUAAGAGUGAUCUUCAUAAACAUGUGAAAGGCCAAGUGGCUGGGAUGGAGAUUUUCCUUUCUUUUUGGCAGCCAUUUUGACCUGAUGUGAUUCUGUUGAGAAAGAUGGCCUGCCUGUUGCAUAGAUACCGAUGGAAAGUCUGUGGAGGCAGGAAAUCUAAGCUCCACAUUUAUUCUCUGAAUCUUCUUUUAGGUGUUCAGGCACUUCAGGACCUCUCACCUCUGUGAAGGGACUUGGGAGACACCCAGAAAAUGAUGAAAAAUGGAGUGAAUGAGACAUUAAGCCAGUUGUGCACCAUUACCCAGCUCGCAGCCCCAUCUCCUGAGGCCAGUUGCCUAGUGGAUGCUGGAGGCAGCAUUUGGACUCAGGCAGUCGAAUCCCAGAGCCCGAAUCCUGCCGUUCUCACUGUCAUCCUGGAGCUCCAGAGCCUGUGGUCACUCAGCUGGCAACCUCACAGGCAGGCCAGCCCCUCCCCAAGCUCAUUUUCCUUAUGGCCUUGCACUGACCUCAACUUUCUUGGACAUCAAAUGGACCCACUGGGCCGCUCCAGGUGUUUCCUUGCCUCCUCUUCUGAAAAUUCGGGACCGCCAUACAGACACCUCCCGGCUCUUCUGUGUGGUCAGGCGCCCUGUCCAUCUUCCUCGCGCUGACUCUCCAGACUCUUUGGAAAGAGUAAAUCCGUGUGCAGAGCACCUGGCUCCAGAGCUUUGGGGCCUCAGGUACGGCCACAUCCCCAUCCUAGCAGCUCUGGCUCAGAGGCCUUCCGCGGGGUCUCAGGGCCAAGGCUGGCCGAGUGUUCCCUGCCCCACAGGCGCAGCGUGGAAUCUCGUUUCUGCCUUCUGCAGAGGGCAGCCUGGAGAGCGCCUCCCGCCACCUGAGAACCAGAGAGGAUGCGAGGAGCCACCGAGAGAGGUCCAGGGCCCAAGUUAG